AGAGGUCAAACCGAUGAGCUUUUUCGUAUACGUCAGCCGUUCUCGACUAAACCUCCCGGGGAUGGCACAUCGAAGGAUCGAAUCUUGAAACGUGGCUUCGCAUCCUCACAGACGGUUUUCACUCGGAUUCCUUCGACUUAAACCUUCAAACACCAAAAACAUCGACUUGGACCUCCAAAUCGUACGCAGCGCAGUAUUUUUCAUUCGAUUGAAAUUGGACAUCGAUGCUUCAAAUCCGAGGCAAGUUCCUCCACUUAUAAUUGGAACAUGGAAGAAGCAAUCGAAGGGAAUGCACGAGACCUGGGAUGACGGAAGGAAACUUUGUGAGGGUGGAUCAAAAAGCAUGCUUCAAUAUUAGCGCGAAAAUGAUGGGUAAACACACACAAUGUAACACGGCAGGAGGCACAUGCUGGAGAGACAUGGGAACGGCACGGAACGACACGUAAUUUUUGUUGUUAUUCCCCCAACACCCCUGAUGUUUUAUCGCAACGUUUCGGAAACGAAUAAGCACAGGAGGAAGUUUGAAAUAAAACAAAGUAAUGAGUUUUAGCUGAGAAAUAAAUUUGAG